rnacentral:lncRNA from 1 species
GUGAGUCCCAGGUCUGGAAGGGAUGGUGGGAGGUGAGAAUUAAAUGUGUAAAUAUUAAUGAUUAUGUACAUUACCUUGUUAGUUUGGGUGAGUAUAUGUCUAUAUAACCACUACUAUCACAUAUAUAUAAAAACACAGAAGGGAGAGGUUUUGCUUUAUUGAAUAACUUUAAGACUUACCAAAUAAUGUUCAAUAUUAAUUGAGCUCAAAAUAGAAAUUGAAUAGUGAGUCCCAGGUCUAAAAACAAACAACAAAAGUUGUGGGACCAAGUCAUUCCUCCAAUUACCAGCCAGUUCUCAAUCUAUGGUGUCCCACACACAUGAGUUCAACUGUUCCAUUAGCUCAGGUGGCAGCAGGAUUCGAAAAACUGAGGACAGGGUGAGUCAGAAGGGUCACAUCUGUGCAAAGCAGUAGACUCAGGCAGCCACACCAGACUUCCAGGAGUCGCAUGGGAAGAUGUCUCCCUACUCUGCCCUCCUAGAACUAUAUAGUUGUAGGAAAAGAAGGGAGAUUCUGUCUACCACCAUGACAAUUCAUAUAAACAUUUAUUUCAAGAGUAUGGAAACACCAGUGGGGAUGAAGGGAUUGCUGAUUUAUACGCGAUGAUUAUAAACUCAUGAGGAAAAAGUUUAUAGUCACUGUUAGGAAGAUUUCUCUGUCAAAUAAAUAAUUUAUUCAGAAAUGCUAUAAAGAAAUGCCAGGAAGACAGCUGCCUAGAAGGAUAACUUGGAUUGAUGCUUGGGUCAAGGGACUUUGAAAAUGUCAUGGGUACUGGAGUUGAGUUGUUUUAUUCCAUGUGAAAUGUGUCACACCAAGGGAUAUAAAUAAUUUUUAUAACUCUGAAAAAAAAUACAGAAACACCACAAACUUGAUAAUUGCCAUUUCCUAGGUAGAUCUGGAAGGGCCUAAAUGUUAAGGUUGGUGUGAAUUGACAGAGUCAAGUGGCCCAGUAUGAGACGGUCAGCCACACUCUGGGAUAAAAAAAUGUUUCUCUACUGGGUUCAGCUUGUCUCUAUGUAUAUAUGAACAUUUUAUUCAGCAAUUAAAACAUCCAUGAUUCAUAGAUUGUUAAAACUAAACAUUCUAACAGCUGUAUCAGUGCUUCAUAAUAUUUUAAAAAUGAAAAUAUUCUCUAUGCAUUAAGUCCAUCGAUAUUCACCAUUUGAAUUUCUGGAAAAAUAAUAAACUUUGUUUAUAAGUAACACAUAAUGUAACAUUAAGCUAUGCUCUGGUUCCCCUGAACUUUACUGUACCUUCGUAUUUUUAGACUCAAGUACUGAUAAUAAAGAGUGCAUUAACUGUU